rnacentral:rRNA from 1 species
CCUACGGGUGGCAGCAGUGAGGAAUAUUGGUCAAUGGGCGUAAGCCUGAACCAGCCAAGUCGCGUGAGGGAUGAAGGUUCUAUGGAUCGUAAACCUCUUUUAUAAGGGCAUAAAGUGUGGGACGUGUCCUAUUUUGUAUGUACCUUAUGAAUAAGGAUCGGCUCACUCCGUGCCAGCAGCCGCGGUAAUACGGAGUAUCCGAGCGUUAUCCGGAUUUAUUGGGUUUAAAGGGUGCGUAGGCGGCCUUUUAAGUCAGCAGUGAAAGUAUGUGGAUCAACCAUAGAAUUGCCGUUGAAACUGGGGGGCUGGAGUAUGUUGGAGGCAGGCGGAAUGCGUGGUGUAGCGGUGAAAUGCUUAGAUAUCACGCAGAACCCCGAUUGCGAAGGCAGCCUGCCAAGCCAUGACUGACGCUGAUGCACGAAAGCGUGGGGAUCAAACAGGAUUAGAUACCCCGGUAGUC